GCUGGCGGCGUGCCUAAUACAUGCAAGUAGAACGCUGAAGGAGGAGCUUGCUCUUCUGGAAGAGUUGCGAACGGGUGAGUAACGCGUAGGUAACCUGCCUGGUAGCGGGGGAUAACUAUUGGAAACGAUAGCUAAUACCGCAUAAGAUUGAAUAUCGCAUGAUAAUUGAUAAAAGAUGCAAAUGCAUCACUACCAGAUGGACCUGCGAUUGUAUUAGCUAGUAGGUGAGGUAACGGCUCACCUAGGCGACGAUACAUAGCCGACCUGAGAGGGUGAUCGGCCACACUGGGACUGAGACACGGCCCAGACUCCUACGGGAGGCAGCAGUAGGGAAUCUUCGGCAAUGGGGGCAACCCUGACCGAGCAACGCCGCGUGAGUGAAGAAGGUUUUCGGAUCGUAAAGCUCUGUUGUAAGAGAAGAACGAGUGUGAGAGUGGAAAGUUCACACUGUGACGGUAUCUUACCAGAAAGGGACGGCUAACUACGUGCCAGCAGCCGCGGUAAUACGUAGGUCCCGAGCGUUGUCCGGAUUUAUUGGGCGUAAAGCGAGCGCAGGCGGUUAGAUAAGUCUGAAGUUAAAGGCUGUGGCUUAACCAUAGUACGCUUUGGAAACUGUUUAACUUGAGUGCAGAAGGGGAGAGUGGAAUUCCAUGUGUAGCGGUGAAAUGCGUAGAUAUAUGGAGGAACACCGGUGGCGAAAGCGGCUCUCUGGUCUGUAACUGACGCUGAGGCUCGAAAGCGUGGGGAGCGAACAGGAUUAGAUACCCUGGUAGUCCACGCCGUAAACGAUGAGUGCUAGGUGUUAGGCCCUUUCCGGGGCUUAGUGCCGUAGCUAACGCAUUAAGCACUCCGCCUGGGGA
rnacentral:rRNA from 1 species